CCUACGGGUGGCAGCAGUGGGGAAUAUUGCGCAAUGGGCGAAAGCCUGACGCAGCGACGCCGCGUGAGGGAUGAAGGUCUUCGGAUCGUAAACCUCUGUCAGCAGGGAAGAACGGUCACUGUGCUAAUCAGCAAUGAAUUGACGGUACCUGCAAAGGAAGCACAGGCUAACUCCGUGCCAGCAGCCGCAGUAAUACGGAGGGUGCGAGCGUUAAUCGGAAUUACGGGGCGUAAAGCGCUCGUAGGCGGUAUGUCAAGUCAAGGGUGAAAUCCCCGCGCUCAACGUGGGAACUGCCUUUGAAACUGGCAAACUGGAGUGUGUGAGAGGAUAGUGGAAUUCCAGGUGUAGGAGUGAAAUCCGUAGAUAUCUGGAGGAACAUCAGUGGCGAAGGCGACUAUCUGGCACAUAACUGACGCUGAGGAGCGAAAGCGUGGGUAGCAAACAGGAUUAGAUACCCGAGUAGUC
rnacentral:rRNA from 1 species